ACGCUCGACACCUACGGAGGCAGCAGUGGGGAAUAUUGGGCAAUGGGCGAAAGCCUGACCCAGCAACGCCGCGUGAGGGAAGAAGGUUUUCGGAUUGUAAACCUCUGUCCUCAGGGACGAAGGACGUGACGGUACCUGAGGAGGAAGCCCCGGCUAACUACGUGCCAGUAGCCGCGGUAAUCUGAGCGGGCUGGCAAGGC
rnacentral:rRNA from 1 species